ACGGAAGGCAGCAGUGAGGGAUAUUGCACAAUGGGCGAAAGCCUGAUGCAGCAACGCCGCGUGAGGGAUGACGGUCUUCGGAUUGUAAACCUCUGUCUUCAGUGAAGAUAAUGACAUUAGCUGAGGAGGAAGCCACGGCUAACUACGUGCCAGCAGCCGCGGUAAUACGUAGGUGGCAAGCGUUGUCCGGAUUUACUGGGUGUAAAGGGAGCGCAGGCGGAGAAGCAAGUCAGUGGUGAAAUGCAUGGGCUUAACCCGUGAACUGCCAUUGAAACUGUUUCCCUUGAGUGAAGUAGAGGCAAGCGGAAUUCCGAGUGUAGCGGUGAAAUGCGUAGAUAUUCGGAGGAACACCAGUGGCGAAGGCGGCUUGCUGGGCUUUUACUGACGCUGAGGCUCGAAAGUGUGGGGAGCAAACAGGAUUAGAUACCCUGGUA
rnacentral:rRNA from 1 species